ensembl:lincRNA Gm43055 predicted gene 43055
UGCACAGGGAGCUCCCCAGCCUGAUACCUGCCCCUUCCGUAUCUGAAUGCUUGUUAUUCAUCUGCUGCAGAAGCCGGGAGAUGCAGAUAGUAGACGAGUAGAUGAGAAGGAAGUCAGAAUCCAAAAUUUCUGUUGGCAAUGCUCUGACUUGGGUGGAACGAUCAAGAACAAAGAUGCUCUGGGAUGAAGGGGAUAAUCCAGAAGCAAAAAGGGACCUAAGGCAGCAUGGUUAAUAGCUCACCAUAAAGAUGGGGAACUUAAUGUUUUGGAUGAUAUUUUGACUGAAGUACCAGAACAGGAUGAUGAAUUGUAUAAUCCAGAGAGUGAACAAGAUAAAAAUGAGAAAAAAGGAUCAAAAAGAAAAAGUGAGAGAAUGGAGUCUACUGACACCAAGCGACAAAAACCUUCCAUCCAUUCAAGACAAUUGAUUUCUAAGCCACUAAGCUCAUCUGUAAGCAAUAAUAAAAGAAUAGUUAGUACAAAAGGAAAGUCGGUUACAGAAUAUAAAAAUGAGGAAUAUCAAAGAUCUGAAAGGAACAAGCGUCUAGAUGCUGAUCGAAAAAUUCGUCUGUCAAGCAGUUCCUCUAGAGAACCUUACAAGAGUCAACCAGAAAAAACUUGUCUACGGAAAAGGGAUUCUGAAAGAAGGGCCAAGUCUCCUACACCAGAUGGUUCUGAGAGAAUUGGGCUUGAAGUUGAUAGACGUGCAAGCAGAUCCAGCCAGUCUUCAAAGGAAGAGGUGAACUCUGAAGACUAUGGCUCUGACCACGAGACAGGAAGCAGUGGUUCUUCUGAACAGGGCAACAACACUGAGAAUGAGGAGGAAGGAGGGGAGGAAGAUGUAGAGGAAGAUGAAGAGGUAGAUGAAGAUGCAGAAGA